rnacentral:antisense_RNA from 1 species
GUCCAAAGCAGAAGGCCGUGCGUCAGGGCGGCCCUCAGCGGAGAUGCCUGCACGGAGCGGGGAGCGCCGCUCGGGGAAGGGAAUGAAAGCGGCGCUUGAGACUGGAAAUUUAGGGAGAUGAGUUCCUUGGGAACAACGCCGAACCGUCUCACUGCCCCACCCUACCCCUUGUUAUUUUUUUUUGAGACACGUCUCGCGCUGUCGUCCAGUGCGAGUGCAGUGACGCGAUCACGGCUCACUGCAGCCUCGACCUCCGGGGCUCACUGGUUCUCCCACCUCUGCCCUCUGAGUAGCUGGGACCACGGGCAUGCACCACCACACCUGGCUAAUUUUUUAAAAAAUUUUUCCGUAGAUAGGGUCUCGCUGUGUUACCCAGGCUGGUCUCGAAUCCCUGGCCUGAAGCGAUCCUCCCGCCUCGGCCUUCCGAAGUGCUGGGAUUACAGGCGUGAGCCACUGCGCUCGGUUUUUCACCCCUUUCUAAAGUUUUCCAUAUCCAGCGGUGCCCUGCCCACCCUCUCUUAAUCUCUGACUUUUCCCUCCUCUGUUUCUUCCUCGCUGAAGUCCAUUGGUGAAGGAAAAUUCAUGUGAAAGUUCUGGAUGUGAAUAAAGGCCUCAGAGUUGUCCUUGUCUACUCCACUACCAAAUGUUGAAGUUCUUCAAGAAUCAGUCCUUUGGAGGCAUUUAAGGAAAUCUGUUUCUCUGUUGAAUCACUAGCUGCGAAUUAAGCUAACAGAACAGAAGCCCAACUGGUCACACACAGCAACGAAUACAGACUUUAUAAACUUCAGAAAAGUUACCAAACAGUGGUAACCAUAACAAGUACCAACAAUGAACUAUGGGGAGAGAGGAGAAUCUGAUUUCCAGAGUUACCACAUUAUAAUACUAUUCAAAAUGUCACAUUUUUAUGAAAGAUUACAAACAAGGAAAAACCAGAAAAGUGUGGCCCAUACACAGGUAAAAAAAGAAAUUAAUAGAAACUAUCCCUGAAGAAGCACAGACUUUGGAUGUACAAAACAAAGACUCUUCAUCAACUCUUUUAGAUAUGCUAGAAGAGCUGAAGGAAACCAUGGACAGAGAACAAAAAAAUUAGGAAAGCAAUGUCUCAUCAAAUACAGAAUAUCAAUAAAGAGAUUGAAAUUGUAGAAAAGAACCAAAUAGAAAUUCUGGAGUUGAAAAGUAUUAUAACUAAAACUGAAAAUUCACUAGAGGUAUUCAGCAGCAGACUGGAGAAGUCAGAAGAAAGAAUCAACAGGCUUCAAGAUAGGUCAAUUAAGAUUAUGCAGUCUGAGGAGCAGAAAGCAAAAAGAAUGAAGAAAAAUGAACAGAACAUAAAAGACCUCUGGGACUCUAUCAAGCAUACCAGUAUAUGCAUAAGGGGAGUCCCAGAAGAAGAAAGAGAGAAAGGGACAUAAUAUUUGAAGAAAUAAUGGUAGAAAAUGUCCCAGCUUUGGUGAAAUACAUGAAUCUAGAUAUUCAAGAGGCUCAAAGAACCCUAAAUAGGGUAAACUCAAAA